GAUCAUGGCUCAGGAUGAACGCUGGCGGCGCGCUUAACACAUGCAGGUCGAACGGUUAAAGCACCUCCGGGUGUGCAUAAAGUGGCGAACGGCUGAGUAACACGUGGGCAACCUGCCCCCCGCACCGGGAUAGCCUCGGGAAACCGUGGGUAAUACCGGAUACUCCGCCACCCCCGCAUGGGGGAGGCGGGAAAGCGUACACGGCGGGGGAUGGGCCCGCGGCCUGUUAGCUCGUUGGCGGGGUAACGGCCCACCAAGGCGAUUAUGGGUAGCCGGGUUGAGAGACCGACCGGCCAGAUUGGGACUGAGACACGGCCCAGACUCCUACGGGAGGCAGCAGUGGGGAAUCUUGCACAAUGGGCGAAAGCCUGAUGCAAGCGACGCCGCGUGCGGGAUGAAGGCCCUCGGGUUGUAAACCGCUUUCAGCAGGGACGAGGCGCAAGUGACGGUACCUGCAGAAGAAGCCCCGGCUAACUACGUGCCAGCCGCCGC
rnacentral:rRNA from 1 species